AACUAACGCUGGCGGCGUGCCUAACACAUGCAAGUCGUACGAGAAAGUUGGCUUCGGCCGAUGAGUACAGUGGCGCACGGGUGAGUAACGCGUGGAUAAUCUGCCCUUAAGUGUGGAAUAACGUACCGAAAGGUGCGCUAAUACCGCAUAAUGCCUGGCAACAUAAGUUGUCCGGCCAAAGAAGGCCUCUGCUUGCAAGCUUUCGCUAAAGGAUGAGUCCGCGUACCAUUAGCUAGUUGGUGGGGUAACGGCCUACCAAGGCGACGAUGGUUAGCUGGUCUGAGAGGAUGAUCAGCCACACUGGAACUGAGACACGGUCCAGACUCCUACGGGAGGCAGCAGUGAGGAAUAUUGCGCAAUGGGGGCAACCCUGACGCAGCAACGCCGCGUGAGUGAGGAAGGUUUUCGGACUGUAAAGCUCUGUCGAGCGGGAAGAAGUGUACCAUGGCUAAUAUCCAUGAUAUUGACGGUACGCUAGAGG
rnacentral:rRNA from 1 species